rnacentral:Y_RNA from 1 species
GGCAAGAGGCAAUGGAGGCUGGUGCUCUUUACAACUAAUUGAUCACAACUAGUUACAGAUGUAUUUGUUCCUUCUCCACUCCCAUUGCUUCACUUGACUGGCCUUUU